rnacentral:piRNA from 1 species
UUCCCUGACACACAGCAGGUUAAUGGCAGGC